rnacentral:rRNA from 1 species
UACGAAGGGGGCUAGCGUUGUUCGGAAUUACUGGGCGUAAAGCGCACGUAGGCGGAUUUGUAAGUCAGGGGUGAAAUCCCGGGGCUCAACCUCGGAACUGCCUUUGAUACUGCAAAUCUCGAGUCCGGAAGAGGUGAGUGGAAUUCCGUAGUGUAGAGGUGAAAUUCGUAGAUAUUAGGAAGAACACCAGUGGCGGAAGGCGGCUCACUGGUCCGGUACUGGACGCUGAGGUGCGAAAGC